rnacentral:rRNA from 1 species
GAAUAAUUCACAAUGGGGGCAACCCUGAUGGUGCAACGCCGCGUGGAGGAUGACGGUCUUCGGAUUGUAAACUCCUGUCAUCCGGGAGAAAGACCUGGGAGUUAAUAGCUCACAGGGUUGAUAGUACCGGAAGAGGAAGGGACGGCUAACUUCGUGCCAGCAGCCGCGGUAAUACGAAGGUCCCAAGCGUUGUUCGGAAUCACUGGGCGUAAAGGGAGCGUAGGCGGCGCGGUAAGUCGGAUGUGAAAUCCCGGGGCUCAACCCCGGAACUGCAUCUGAUACUGCCGUGCUAGAGUAAUGGAGGGGUAGCUGGAAUUCUCGGUGUAGCAGUGAAAUGCGUAGAUAUCGAGAGGAACACUCGUGGCGAAAGCGAGCUACUGGACAUUUACUGACGCUGAGGCUCGAAGGCUAGGGGAGCGAAAGGG